rnacentral:pre_miRNA from 1 species
AAUAACUAUAAUUAUAUACUAUCUAUAUCCAACGUUUAACGAUUCGUCUUAUUUAAAAAAAUUAUGAUUAGUAUUUUUUAUUGUUAUUAGAUGAUAAAACAUAAAUAGUUCUUUAUGUGUGACAUUUUUUAUUUUUUUAUAAUUUUUUUAAAUAAAACGAACGGUCAAAUAUUGGACAAGAUGCACUUAUU